rnacentral:miRNA from 1 species
AAACUGGUUAAUGAUAACUGAAUCAUAAAACCUUCAGGAGGAAAGGAGACUAUGGACCAUUUUUGUGUGUGUGUGCUAGUUUUAAGUUAUUAGUUUUCAAAAUCAGU